ACUCAGCCUCAAACACAAUGCAGGUUCUCCUGUGUUUAACGGUUCUGGUUCUGAGUGUACAGGAACUGCACUGUGUCCAGUUAACACAGUCGGCAUCGGAAAUCGGAAAGCCAGGACAGUCCCUACGGUUGUCCUGCCAGGUGUCUGGAUACUCCCUGACCGAUAACAGCUAUGCUACACACUGGAUCCGACAGCCCCCUGGGAAGGGUCUGGAAUGGCUGGGACACUAUUAUACUUCUGGAAACAGCUACGCGCCCUCAGUCCAGGGCCGGUUCACCAUCAGUACAGACUCCGGGAGCACAGUCUACUUAGAGAUGACAAGCCUGAAAGCUGAAGACAGUGGCGUCUAUUACUGUGCCCGAGACAACCGCUUCGAUUACUGGGGAUCCGGGACAGCGGUCACCGUCACCUCCGGUUCACCGACUAAGCCAACCCUGUUCCCUCUGGUGGCCUCAUGCGGCUCUGGAACGAGUGGAGGUGUGGUUUCUGUGGGCUGCUUGGCCACAGGGUUCCUGCCCGAUUCCCUGACCUUCAAGUGGACCGACAGUACCAACAAAGAGCUGACCCCCUUCGAGAAAUACCCGUCCGUGCUCAGUGGGGGGACCUACUCCUCGACCAGCAUGGUGUCCUUGUCCACCUCCGACUGGAACUCAGGAAAAUCCUUCUACUGUGAGGCAAAACAUCCUCAGGGUGACGUGAAGACUGAUCCAAUCAAGAAAAUUGAUCCACCCAAGAUACAAGCACCCUGUCUGCAGGUAAACCUGAAGGAUGCAGACCAGAAAGAAUUGUUCAUUUCCAACAGAGCUGUGCUGUCCUGCGAGGUAGAAGGUGAUAAUCUGAUAGGUGCACAGGUGUCCUGGACAGAAGGGGGAAAACCUGCCACAGGCCAGUUAAAUCUUACUCAAACAAGAGCUGUCAGCAACUUAACAAUUGACGCUUCGAAGUGGUACAGUGGAGAAGUGUUUGAGUGUAUUGUGCAACUCAAAUCUCAGCAAGAUCCCAUUAAAAGGCAAAUUCAAGUAAACAAUAGAGGCUUAAAGCAAAAACCUACCUUGUAUAUACUGCCCCCAUCAGAGGCUGAAAUACGGGAAAAAGGAUCUGCCACUCUCGUGUGCCUGGUGACUGGGUUUUUUCCUGAAAAUAUUUAUAUCAUGUGGGGAGAAAAUGGAAACUUGAAAGAAGAAGGCAUCACAAGUCGCCCUGUAAAGAACAAUGGCCUGUACUCAGCCAUGAGCUACCUGACCAUUGCUAAAGAUCAGUGGGAGAAAAAUGAAUAUUUAUGUGCAGUGAAACAUCCUUCACUGGGAGAUAACAAAACAGCCCCCCGGAUGAAAACUAUCAAGAAAGAAGAUGUGCAUGGUCUGUGGUUUCUGGACUGCGGAGACGCCAAUCCUGAUGACAGCGAGGGUAGCGCAUGGACAACAGCCUUGUGGUUCAUCUUCCUCUUCCUCUUCAACUUCCUGUACAGCGCCAUCCUCACCAUGUCCAAGGUGAAGUAAGACUCCCUCCUCUCUGGAUUCCCCCGGCACUGGCAUUUAUGAGUCACCUGAUCUGCAGGAGCUAAAACGCAUAUUUUCUCAACCAGCACUGCUGACAUAAUACGUCUGUUGCAUUAUUUUUAUGCCAUGGGUAGGGUUUUAUUUAUAGGUGCUUCAAGAAUCCUUUAAAAGGAAGCAAUUAACUGACAGAUAACAAUGACAAGCCAGUCACACAAAGCUGUAUCUAAUCACCUAAUGGAAAUUAAGUCUUUAUAGCAAAGAGAAACACCUCGGUGUGCAUUUUUCUCAAGCAUCUCUACUCCAGCUCAUCUCCAACUUGCAGCUGCCCCUGGGCUCACUCAAGGCCGGGAGCCUACCCAUUAACCAAGAGGGUUAAGCCAAACCUAUUCCACCAAUUGUAUUCCAAACAGGCACAAAGCAUUCAGUCACUGGAUGUCAUUGUCCCGAGAGGAAUGCUUUUAUCAGUGAAUGGGUAAAACAUUUCCUAUGUAUUCAUCUUUUCAGGAGAAUGAAUCUUUUCAAAAGCACCCUGUUGGCUAUUAAAUUAGAUUAAACAAAUUUA